GAUCACACAUGGAAAGUUUGAGGCAGAUUGGAGCAUGCAGAGGAGAGUUAUACAGCAGUUGUUGUUUCAUGGCGAAGCAUCAAAACUCUAAUGGUCGCCAUGGCCACGCCAUUUGGCUUCUGGUUAAACUUUUGAUAACUUUUCAUCACCAAGUCCUGCUGUGUGGACUGACAAAAUUUCAGGUCUCCUGGAAUUAUCCCCAAGGAGGUAUUAACUCUCAAAAAUGAGAAAAAUCAUCAAAAAUCUCACAAUUAAUCCAAGAUGGCCGACUUCCUGUUGGGUUUAGGACAUGGCUCCAAGAGGCUUUUUUGUGCGUCCUGAUGUGCUCUAUAAGCUUCCCAAAUUUCAUGGAUGUAGGUGAAACGUGCUGGGGGGGCUGUUUGUUAAAAAUACUGUAGGGGGCGCUAUAGCAUGUGCAGUGCCGAGAUGCAUACAGUGUUGUUCCUUGGGUCAAUGGUGAUGUGUGUGGUAAUUUUUGUGAGCAUUGGAGUAUUCCUAACCUGUCAGAAAGGGCUUUGUUUUUCAUGGUGAUAUUUGGUUGCUACGGCAACAGCGUUGCAUGAAAUGUCACACCCUUCACAGUGUGUGAUUGUCAAGAGGUGAAGACUCGACUGACCAAUUUCCAGCAUGAUAUCACCAAGUUUGGGGCCAUUGUACCUGAAAAUAUAAGGCCUUAAACUUACUAUUACCAACAGGUGGCGCUAUGACUUUUUCAAAAUUUAUGAGUGUGGAUGUGUUCAGACUGGACCUGGUAUCCAGCAUGUGAAGUCUGAGGCAGAUAGGAUGUUGUUCAGCUGAGAUAUGAAUCGUUAAAUUUUCAUGGCGAAACAUCGAAAUUGGUUUGGCCGCCACAGACACGCCCUUUGAUGACAAGUCACCAUUUUCACUGGGAUGCAUCAUCAAUGUGUUUAGGCUGUUGUCACUGCAUUUGAAGUGAAUAUGAUCAACCGGGUAACAAUAGGGCAUGAAAGUGUAAAAGAUGUCUAUUUCCUGAAACCACAAGGUGGCGCUAUGACUGUCAAUGAAUAUCCCUAUGUGGAUGACAUCAGGACAGGACUGUCAUCAUACAUGUUAAGUUUCAGGCAGAUUGGAGCAUGUUGAGAAGAAUUAGACACCAAUUCCUGUUUCAUGGCGAAGGAUCAGUUGUUUGAGGCUCCGCCAUGGCCACACCUUUUGGCUUCUGGUUGAGUUUUUGAUAACUUUUCAUCAGAAAGGUCUGGUGAAUGUACUGGCCAAAUUUCAGUUCUCUCAGACUUAUCCACUAGGAGCUAUAAAUUUUGACAAAUGUACAGCAAAUUCAAGAUGGCCGACUUCCUGUUGGGUUUAGGGUGUGGCUGUGAUUGACUUUUUGGUGUGUCCUGAUGUGGUGCAUAUGCCCACCAAAUAUUGUAGCUGUAAAUAAAACAUUGUGGAAGUUGA